UAUAUAUAUCUUUGCUUAGUUGCUAAAUAAAUAAAUAAAUAAAGUUUGCUAUGAACCCUCAUGAUAAGCUCUCAUAUGGAAAUGAUGAAUAGUUGCUCUACCAUGACUAGUUCUCAAAAUUGAAAUCUCUCUCAAGUUUAGGCAUGACUGUUAUUAAUUAAGAUUUGCUCUAAACCUGAACUUGUGGGAAGAGUACUUGAUCUAAAGUCUAAGUCGUUAACGGAUAUGAUAUGGGAAGGUUGAGCUGCUGUUUAUCUGUUCUUAGAGAUGCUAGAAUUCUGGAGAAUUUUAUCUUUGAAAAUAUUUAAAAUAACACAUGAUGAGUUCCUGUAUGAUGAGAGUUUAAAUUCCUACCACAGCCAUAUAUAUAUGCUUGCUAAACUUUGAGCCACACAUUUACUUACUACUUAUGAGCAUUGAGUGUGGUCAAGCUGUGUAGACCCUUAGGAGCUUGUCAUGUGGUUAAAUCAAGAUUCACUUGCACGUUCACUUACACAUGCUGCUUCUACUCCGGAAGUACGCAUCCACAUAUAUCCAUUUCCAUCUCCAGAACCACCCAAAAAUAUUCUACUCCAAAUCCGGGAGAGAAUAGCCAAAAAUAUUUCUGUUUUUCCCCUGUGAAAUAAAUGCUCAAGUUAUUUUGUUACUACCACUUGCUAUAUUAUCUCAUGAGAUGAGUGCUCUAAAAAAAAGAAAAAAAAAAUAAAAAAAAAAAGAAAAAAAGAUACGAGGAAAUAAAAAGGGGCAAGUGCCCGGAACCUCGAAAGAAAAGAAAAAGUAAGACGAGAGGUAAAAAUGGACAAGUGUCUGACAGUAGAAUUAGGGGUACAAGAUACCCACCUGAGAGAAAAGAAAAAGAAAAUAUAGAGCAUCUCAUUCUCCUCAAAAAGUUUCAAAAGAGCAAGAAAGGUAUGUAUCCCCUCAAAAGAGCACAAGUAGAAUUAGACUUUCACCAUUAUCACCAUUCAUUCGCCACACAUGCACAUCUUGAUUUGACUUAUUGGCUUGUUUUUCUGGAUCCAUGGUUUGACUAUACAAUAAAUGUCUUGUAAGUAUGUAUUAGCUGUCUCCCACCUAUGAGCUCCAGAUAUCAAAACCUUAUUAGAGUAGGGUGAGAGAGAAGGCAAUGUCACAAUGCCUCAUACCAAAAAUACCACAUAAUUUGAGAGAAGGCAUAUAUCAUCACUGCCUUGGUAAGGAUCCAGAAAUACCACAAAAGAGAGACUAGAGAGAGAGUCAUACAAGGAAUCUCUGAGUUUUAUUUGAAAAUCUGCAAAAACUCCAGAGCUAUAGUUAAUCGAAGAACAAGAGACAUGGCGCUUGACUAGACCGUUCUAUCUUUUAACUGCUCAAGACACAGGUGACGGAUGCAAGCCCUAUGGUGGAAGGUAAAAUGAGUAAGUUUAAAUCUUAACAGUUUACCCUAACCCAGAGAUGAGAUCUUGUUUGAACGCAUGUGUAUCUUUAAGGCAUGAAACCACUGCAGAAACUCUUGAGUUCAUCUUUGCUCAGGGACGAGCAAAGGUUAAGCUUGGGAGAGCUUGUUGACGGUCCUUAAUGCUCACAUUUAACCAUCAACUAAUCAUAGAAAAGGACUUAUAUGCAACCAAUACCUAGACUUAGGGUUUUAUCUGACAGAAUUCCACGAGUUUUGGUAUUUGUCUAUUUCUGUAGGGGGUUAUCAGGAAAUAUGAAAGAAAGGCCCACACGUCGGGUUUACAUAGAGAUAUUAACGUGCCGCGCAAUUUUCUACCAUCUAGAAGACUCCAGAAGCCACGGAAAUGAACGGGAGGCCGAUCGGGCCCGGGGGCAGGGCGCCCGCCCAAGUCCCUUGGGUGCCCGCCCAGCUACAGUAACCAAUCAACUUCGCGGAUCGUGCUCCACCGACCUAAGGGACCAAGGAAAAUCGUACGAUUAAUGUCGGUUUGAUCCGACGGCCCAGAUUCAUCUGAAAAAGACUAUAUAAGCAAGGCCUCCUGGCCCCUGGAGAGCAUACCUCUUCUACAGAAUCAAAGUUAGGGUUUCAAUUCUUCAUCCAAGUAGAGAGGAUCCCUCUAGUUCUUCUAGUUCUACCUCUAGUUCAUCUAGAUCUAGUUCUAGUUCAUCUAGUUCUAGUUCUAGUUAGUUCUAGUUGUAAUCUAGAAAACAGGGAGAGAGAAGAGGAGAGCGGAGGAGGAGCCGGGUCUGUCAGAUCUUCCUCAACAUUGUACUUUUGCAGCAACUGGUUCGUUCUUCAUCGUUCUGUGGUUGUAGGACCGUAGUCAGACCUUCCUAGCCCCAUUCUCAUCUCUUUCUGUGGUUAGUGCUCUGAUGUCCCGAUAUAGAUAAUCUUAAAGUAAUUCUUGAUUCUUAGAUCAACUAGAGAACUCUCAGAAAACUUCCUCUCUUCCCACCAAAAACUAAUUAUAUAGUUAUUCUUGGGCGAUCUUGGAUCUUAAUUAGUACACUCACGUUCCCUGUGGAAAAUCGAUACUCUGGAAUACUCCCGGGUGAAGGCUACAUCGGUAUCCGUGCGCUUGCGGAUUUUUUCUGUUUGCGUUUAAAAUACCCAACAUGUAGUUGCAGUAGUUCUUGCAAUGUUUAUCUCUAAUCUGAGUAGUGAUAAAAUUGCACACGUGCACAUAUAUGUCACCACUAUAUUAUGCGUAAUUUUCUAGAUUAAAUCAAACAUUAAAAUGUCUAAAUUUCUAACACAUGUACCAU
rnacentral:lncRNA from 1 species